rnacentral:misc_RNA from 1 species
GAUGAAGAACGUAGCGAAAUGCGAUAAGUAAUGUGAAUUGCAGAAUUCAGUGAAUCAUCGAAUCUUUGAACGCACAUUGCGCCCCUUGGUAUUCCGGGGGGCAUGCCUGUUCGAGCGUCAUUUCAACCCUCAAGCUCAGCUUGGUAUUGAGUCCAUGUCAGUAAUGGCAGGCUCUAAAAUCAGUGGCGGCGCCGCUGGGUCCUGAACGUAGUAAUAUCUCUCGUUACAGGUUCUCGGUGUGCUUCUGCCAAAACCCAAAUUUUCUAUGGUUGACCUCGGAUCAGGUAGGGAUACCCGCUGAACUUAAGCAUAUCAAUAGGCGGAGGA